rnacentral:rRNA from 1 species
GAUGAACGCUGGCGGCGUGCCUAAUACAUGCAAGUCGAGCGAACAGACGAGGAGCUUGCUCCUCUGACGUUAGCGGCGGACGGGUGAGUAACACGUGGAUAACCUACCUAUAAGACUGGGAUAACUUCGGGAAACCGGAGCUAAUACCGGAUAAUAUAUUGAACCGCAUGGUUCAAUAGUGAAAGACGGUUUUGCUGUCACUUAUAGAUGGAUCCGCGCCGCAUUAGCUAGUUGGUAAGGUAACGGCUUACCAAGGCAACGAUGCGUAGCCGACCUGAGAGGGUGAUAGGCCACACUGGAACCGAGACACGGUCCAGACUCCUACGGGAGGCAGCAGUAGGGAAUCUUCCGCAAUGGGCGAAAGCCUGACGGAGCAACGCCGCGUGAGUGAUGAAGGUCUUCGGAUCGUAAAACUCUGUUAUUAGGGAAGAACAAAUGUGUAAGUAACUAUGCACGUCUUGACGGUACCUAAUCAGAAAGCCACGGCUAACUACGUG